UACGGGGGGGGCAAGCGUUGUUCGGAAUUACUGGGCGUAAAGGGCUCGUAGGCGGCCAACUAAGUCGGACGUGAAAUCCCCAGGCUCAACCUGGGAACUGCGUCCGAUACUGGAUGGCUUGAAUCCGGGAGAGGGAUGCAGAAUUCCAGGUGUAGCGGUGAAAUGCGUAGAUAUCUGGAGGAACCCCGGUGGCGAAGGCGGCAUCCUGGACCGAGAUUGACGCUGAGGCGCGAAAGCCAGGGGAGCAAACGGG
rnacentral:rRNA from 1 species